GAUUCCAUUUAUAUGAAAUGUCCAGAACAGGCAAAGUCAUAGAGAUGGAAAUUAGAUUAGUCAUUGACAACAGAAUGGAAGAAAAAGGAAUUGGGAGUGACUGCUAAUAGGAUAAAUCAAAAUAAUUUCUUAGUCUGAAGAUAAGCUGAACUAUAUGAAGAAUGUAAUAGAUGAAGUGUGCUGCAGGCUGGACAGGACAACAGAGAUGUCAAGAGAAACAUUUUUUUUUAAUUGUGGAUAAUGUUCAGAGUUAACCCACUGGCUAAAGCUUGAUUCAGGGACAAGUGACCAUCAAGAUUCAUCUCUCUGUUCUGGCUUACAAGAGGGGGCACCAUUCUUCAUUCUCAUACUCCAGGUGAUGGGCACUGGCAGCUUUGGACUCAGCCUAAUCAUCACAAAAUAAAUGCAGCUCCAGACCUCACACUCAUACUACCAAAUCUGCAGGCCCUGUAGCCCUCAAAAUACUAUCAGGAUAUUAAAUCCAAUUCAGAAGAUUGAAGAAAUGUUCAUGUAAGUAGACCUGACAGAGAUCAACAACAGUGGGGAAAUCUUACCACUCCAUAGGCCUGAAGAGGUACUGGAGUAUUUGGUCCUUUGUUGUCUGAAGUUUGUUUCACAACAGACCUGCUUCUAAAUCUUAGUCCACCCAAGUAAGAAGCUGCUUAGCUUAUGGAUUUUUCUUCAAUUCUGGCUGAGCUGCAAUUGAAGAAUUGGCUCAAGACAAAAUAAUUCUGUUCAUUUCCACAGUUUCUUCUCCUCUCUAGCUGGCGGAUAUUAUUGGGGGCUUUCAUAUUUGUUUGUGGGCUUAUUUCUGUAACACCUUAAUUUCUGCAACACUUGCUGCACUGUGUUGUGAAACUAUACAUUAGAUUGAACUUGUGGCUUGAUAAUAAUUGUUGGAUUUGUAGUAUGAGGUUAAGACCUUUAUAAGGGUCAAUAUAGAUCAUUUUUGUUCCUCAUUUUUUUUUUAGUUCUUUUGGUUAGCUUUACUGGUAUGAGGGAGGAGAACUCCUGUAAAUGUGCCCUUUGCCUACAAAUUUCCCGUACAUGUUUAAAAAAAUACCUGUUUCAGAGAGAAUUUGGCUAUAGCAAAUAAAAGAAGAGCAAGAUCAAGUUCCCCUAAUAGGUGACUAAAUGAAGAAGAAAAUAAGGAAGUUAGGUAAAAGAGUUAUUUUAAAGUGAGUGGGUUCAGAUUUUCUGUUCUUAAAUUUGAGAUGAAAAUAGGAUGUUAAAACAGAAACCUCCUGCGUAGAGCUGCAAACACGGCCUUGCACUCAAACUCCCAUGGCAGCUUCAGUGAGAAAUGGGUUAAAUAGAGUACAUUGAGGGAGGAGUAGAAACCUUGGAAGACAAUUACAGAGGAGGAAGAGGAGCUGGAUUUAGUAGAGGAGACAGAAAGAUAACUGAUGGAGUGUUGCACACUAGUGUGUUUCCUUUUAAGUCUUUUUUAUUGGAUUUAAUAUCAAGAAAUCCUUUAUCUCGGGUUACAGAUUUUUCCUGCUAUCACUGAUGUUUCUUCAUUCUCUACUUUGUAUGUGCUUUAUCCUUCCCAAUUAAUUUAGACACAUUUCCAUUAUUAAGGUAACAUAUAGAUAAGGUAGCAAUUCCAAAUGGAUAUCCUUAUCAGAACAAACCUAGGUAUCGUGCAAUAAAACCUCCAUCAUGAAGUGAAUGUUAACAAAUCAUUUUCAUAGGAAAUGUCAUUUUAUUAUAGACAAAUUCAUGCUCAGUGAUUAGCCCAGGCUUCUGACACCUAAAUUAAAAGACAUUUUCAUGCUAUUUUUCAUUUGAUGUUGAGAUACCUUUCAUGCUGUUAAUUCUCCUCCGGUAGCAAUAGUUACAGCCAAUGUCUGCUGGCCACAGAUGUACUCCCCUACUAUCAGACCUCUAUUCAUUUAUUCAGCAUAUCUUAAUUAAGCCUCUAUAACAUCAUUUGCUAUGUGCUAAAAACUAUUCAAAAAUAAUAUCCAAGAGUCUCUGUCUUCAAGGAGAUCACUGUUCAGGGAUUAUUAUUAGUCAUUAGAAUCAAUUUUUUAAUUGCUUUUUUUUAUUAAAGUCUUUUGGUACCUCUAGAACCUAUGUACCAAUGUAGAAAUAAUCAUCAUUUUCAAAUGGAAUAAAAUCUAACUGAUUUAUUCAAAGAGGAAAAGAAAUGUGUAUUGAACAAUAAAGGAAACUGAACUCUUACCUUUCAAAUUGAAUGUUUCAGAAGCGAUAGCUGGCUUGAAUGGAGUCAUCUUUGAAGAAUAUUGGCCUUCAGUCAGUAUGCUUUUCAAUGGUUGAGAAUAAUUGUCAAAAAUUAUAAUUAAUGAUUAUUAAGUGAGUCAAUAAUAUAGACCCUCCUUUUGUCCAGCAUAGUGCUAGAUAAGAGAGAAUUUUUAAAGUAAUUAUGACAUAAAUUGAGAACCGGAAGUAACAUAUGAAAUAAGUUGAAAUACACUACACGAUACUCGAUAGUUUACAAAGCAUAACCAUGAACACUACCUUAUUGGAUUAUAUACUAUUCUCUCUUUUGAGCUGGCAUAAAUACAAUAGAGCAGACAAUCAGGACUGAUAUAGUGGGACAGAUUAAAAUAUUACAGAGGACAAGGAAAGGAGAAACCAGUGUGGACUGGAGUAGUAGGCAAUGUACUAUUCUUUAUUUACUUAAUCAUUUUAAAAUCCAUUUUCCCAGCUAGGUCCUAUGGAUGCUUCAAUACUCAUUCUUUAACUCAGUUAAACUUUAACUUUAACUCAGUUUUGAAUAAACAAUUAAGAGGGGAGAAGACAUUAUUAAAGGCAGGUGGAUAGGAAAAAAAAAUUCUGUAAACAUUGCCAUUGAAAGGAAUACAAAAGAGAGGUGAAUGUGUGACAUUUAUUUUAGAGCCUCUUCCUCAUUUUUACUAAACCCACUGCCUGGAUUCCUUUGUGCACUGAACAUGUUGUGGCCAAGUCUAAUUUCUCAUGGAUGUUGUGUUCUGCUCAUAACUCCUGCCAGAAAUUCGGGGAAUUGUUGUUCAGAUCAACCUGGACAACAAUUAUGUGCUCUGUGCACAUGUUUAACUAAACCAUGAUCAGAAAUGAUACUUCGCUGCAAAAUGGCAAAGUUGAAUAGGAUGAGUGAACAUUCCCUUGGUUUCUUUAAUCUUCUUUGGGCCAAACAAAAUAACUCAAUACACAUGCAUGCAUACACAGCUGAAGAGCUUUUAAUUGCCUUUUAAGUGUUUUUGUGUUUUUGAAAUUUUCCCAAGGCAGCUUGAAGAAACCAUUGCAUUUUAAUGGUAAUGGGGAUAGGUACUAAAACGCCGAGGUGCCCGCACUCAUAACAAGUCUCCCCCAAACCUCCCCUUAUCCUUCUCCUGUCUCUACCUUUCUGUGUUACAUCGUGGACCUCACGGGUGAAGGUCAGAAGAGAUCACCAUGGGGAAAUCAGAGAAAGAUAAAGGGAAUCUUACCAUUUCUCACCUCUUGUGUGUAAAAACACUUUCUACUUCUUCAGUCAAGGGGGCAUAUGGAUCAGCCUCUGCCCUCGUAUUUGAACUUGAUCCUGACAAGUGAUUGAGACAAGACAGAAAAUGGAGUUCGUUUGAGCAGAUGCAUGUCUUUUUUUUUUUUUAAAGCACAUACACAAUACCAGUACAUUUAAAACUUAAAAUUGACAUAUAAACUGGGCACAAUAGUGUCUUAUGACACUCUACUUACAAAACACAGAACCAACAUAAAAUAGCCAGGGAAUAAAUACAAGAUUGUGUGGUAAUUAACUGCUAAAUUGUGAAUUAAAAGCAAUAAGUAACCAAUAAUAUUAUAUUCAUUUUCUCUCCUAUGUAAAUAAUACUUUUUAAAAACAUUUUUAUUGGAAUAACUAUUCUACUCUCAGAUUUAUCACUAUCUUCCAAAAUGAAAACCAUCCAAAUUUCAACAUACAGGAUUCAGCUGCAACAGCUGUACCACUAAAAAAAAAAUAGCAAAUACAAACCUAAGAUGAACAUACUUGGCUAAACAGCAUUUUUCUUCAUUAUUGGCUUUUUUGGUUGUUAUUAUUUUGGCUGAAUUUGAUUUGGACAACUGACAUUCAACAUCUCAAAAUUUCUAACCCCUUCUCAGAGUCUCUGAGUGAAAAUAGAAAAAAUGAGGUAAUUCAAAGUCAGUAAAAUAGUAAAAGCCAAGAAAUUCUGAAGGGAAAAUAAAACCUUUUAUAAACCAAGAGAAGGAAAAAGGCAAGUGGGUAUAGAGAAACCAACAAGACAAACUUGAAGUAGAAGAAAAAAAUAAUAAAAUGUAUCAUGUUCUUACAAAAAUAAAAUAAAAUAAAAUAAUUGGCAUAAGGAAAUCAAAAGGAAAAGGAGAAAUUCUAGAAAAAGAUAUUCUAUGUGGUCAAGAGAGAGUUGCACAGGAGACAGAAGACGUGGGUUUCAGCCUCACCCAUUGCUAACUGGUUUUGUGACUUUUGGCAGGAUAUUGCCUCUUCCUGGGUUUCACUUCCAACUCUGUAAAAUCACUUUGCCUCAGAAGUGUCAGAUCACUUCUGUUUCUCAAAUUCCUUGAGAGGAGACAUUUUUGCCUCUCUUUGUUUCUUCUUUUGCUAUUGUUUACUACCAAAAACUUAAAACUAAUGAACUUGCUACAUUAGACUAACUGAAAUAGCAAAGUACUAAUUUAAUACUGCCUGUUUUGACACAUGAAAAGAUACUCAACAUCACUCAUCAUCAGGGAAAUGCGAAUCAAAUCUACAAUGAGGUAUCACCUCACACCUGUCAGAAUGGCGAAAAUAAAAACCAUAAGAAGCAGUAAGUGUUGGUGAGGAUUUGGAGAAAAAGGAAUCCUCAUGAACUGUUGGUGGGAAUGCAAACUGGUGCAGCUACUAUGGAAAACAGUGUGGAGUUUCCUCAAAAAAUUAAAAAAGAAUUACCCUAUGAUCCAGUAAUUCCACUACUGGUAUUUACCCAAAGAAUACAAAAAUACUAAUUCAAAAAGAUAUAAGUACCCCUAUGUUUAUUGCAGCAUUAUUCACAAUAGCCAAAGCAUGGAAGCGACCCCAGUGUCCCAUUGAUAGAUGAAUAGAUAAAGAAGUGGUAUUUAUACACAAUGGACUGUUACUCAGCCAUAAAAAAAGAAAAAUUUGCCAUUUGCAGCAACAUGGAUAGAUCUAGAAGGUAUAAUGCUAAGUAAUGUCAGUCAGAGAAAGACAAAUACCGUAUGAUUUCAUAUAUGUGUGGGAUUUAAGAAACAAAACACAUGAACAAGGAAAAAAGAGACAAAUAAUAAUAAUAAUAAUAAUAAAAAGCAGACUCUUAACUAUAGUGGACAAACUGGUGGUUACCAGAGGGGAAAUGGGUGGGAGGAUAGGUGAAAUAGUUGAAUGGGGAUUAAGAGUACACUUAUCAUGAUGAGCACUGAGAAAUAUAUAUAAUUGUUGAAUCACUAUAUUAUAUACCUGAAACUAGUAUACAACUAUGUUAGCUAUACUGAAAAUUUUAAAAACUCAAAAUAAAAAAAAUACUGCCUAUUUUCAGGAUUAAAAUAGUUAACAAGUAGGGUGAGUAAAUGAGCCCCUGUUUCAACUAUUCACAACUUCCCUGAGUGUAUAUAGGGUACUGAUACACUAAGAAUCUCUGAUUGGCAUGGUAUCCCAGAAAUACUAAAUAUUUCUUUAAUGCUCUGUGUCUAAAAUGAAGGCAAGAAAAGAGAAGGAGAUUAAUUUGUCUGUGAUGACCAAAGAUCAAAUACAGACUGAGGGUUGUGCUUAUAUAAGGACAAAAGAAAUUAUCAGGGUAUCUCUAUGGAUUGUAAAUGUAUUACUUCUACUUUCCUUUUAAGUAUUUCAUUUAGUUUUACCAUUUUGAUUAUA